rnacentral:rRNA from 1 species
CACGGGGGGAGCAAGCGUUGUUCGGAAUCACUGGGCGUAAAGGGCGUGUAGGCGGUCAAGUAAGUGGAAUGUGAAAGCCCCCGGCUUACCCGGGGAUCUGCAUCCCAAACUGCUUGGCUUGAGUACGGGAGAGGAUGGAGGAAUUCCUGGUGUAGCGGUGAAAUGCGUAGAUAUCAGGAGGAACACCGAUGGCGAAGGCAGGUCUCUGGGCCGAUACUGACGCUGAGGAGCGAAAGCGUGGGGAGCGAACAGG